UGCAGCCUUGUCAAAUUCAGAAGUAUAUUUCCAUGGUACUUACUGGCCUAAAUGGCUGCUACAGUAAACUUGCAGUUCAUGGACCCCAUAUCCACAUCUGUGUGUGUUGGGGAUAAGUAAAAUUCUGCAGACAUGU